AGCUCCAAUAGCGUAUAUUAAAGUUGUUGCAGUUAAAAAGCUCGUAGUUGAACUUCAAGCUUGGCUGGGCGGUCCGCCUCACGGUGUGUACUGUCUGGCUGAGUUUUACUUCUUGGUGAGCCAGUAUGCCCUUUACUGGGUGUAUUGGGGAACCAGGACUUUUACCUUGAGAAAAUUAGAGUGUUCAAAGCAGGCCUACGCCUGAAUACAUUAGCAUGGCAUAAUAAAAUAGGACUUGCGGUUCUAUUUUGUUGGUUUCUAGAGUCGCAGUAAUGAUUAACAGGGAUAGUUGGGGGCAUUAGUAUUCCGUUGCUAGAGGUGAAAUUCUUGGAUUUACGGAAGACUAACUACUGCGAAAGCAUUUGCCAAGGAUGUUUUCA
rnacentral:rRNA from 1 species